UACGUAGGGUGCAAGCGUUAAUCGGAAUUACUGGGCGUAAAGCGUGCGCAGGCGGCUUCUCAAGUCAGGGGUGAAAGCCCAGAGCUCAACUCUGGAAUUGCCUUUGAGACUGAGUGGCUUGAGUACGAGAGAGGUGAGUGGAAUUCCCAGUGUAGAGGUGAAAUUCGUAGAUAUUGGGAAGAACACCGGUGGCGAAGGCGGCUCACUGGCUCGGUAACUGACGCUCAUGCACGACAGCGUGGGGAUCAAACAGG
rnacentral:rRNA from 1 species